rnacentral:tRNA from 1 species
CAGGGAGACAACAAAAUGUUUAAUAUUAUUAUUUUGUCACCUUAGGUCGAUCGGUAUCUCACGUUUUUAAUUUAUUAAGAAUUUCAUUUCCUAAGUUUUUCUAGGUCACACCCAUUAUUUUUCCUGGGCCAUUAGCUCAGGUGGUUAGAGCGCACCCCUGAUAAGGGUGAGGUCCCUGGUUCAAGUCCAGGAUGGCCCAUAUCUCCAUGCUGGGGGUAUAGCUCAGUUGGUAGAGCGCCUGCUUUGCAAGCAGGAUGUCAGCGGUUCGAGUCCGCUUACCUCCACUGAUUACCACCUCUUCCAUAAUCUGUAGAAAGGAAAUGUUUUGAGUUGUGAUCAAAUUCUGAACGAAUCUAGCUUCCUAAUGUAACUAUUAAGAUGCUGGACUCAUUGAAUAAAUUUCAUUGUUUUCAGAGAACCUUGACAACUGCAUAGAUUAUUUUUUAAAGACAAUAAGCAUCUUUAAUGAUGCAGAUUUAUUAUUUGUGCAAAUGCAUUAAUAACAAUUCUAUUAAGCUGAUGCUUCAAUUUUGAAGUUAUU